CCUUGUACACACCGCCCGUCACAUGACCCGAGUCGGGUGCACCUUAAGUCGCCGGCCCAACCGCAAGGAGGGAGGCGCCCACGGUGUGCUUGGUGAGGGGGAUG
rnacentral:rRNA from 1 species